UACGGGGGGGGCAAGCGUUGUUCGGAAUUACUGGGCGUAAAGGGCUCGUAGGCGGCCAACUAAGUCAGACGUGAAAUCCCUCGGCUUAACCGGGGAACUGCGUCUGAUACUGGAUGGCUUGAAUCCGGGAGAGGGAUGCGGAAUUCCAGGUGUAGCGGUGAAAUGCGUAGAUAUCUGGAGGAACACCGGUGGCGAAGGCGGCAGUCCUGGACCGGCAUUGACGCUGAGGAGCGAAAGCCAGGGGAGCCAAAGCGGGG
rnacentral:rRNA from 1 species